rnacentral:lncRNA from 1 species
AUUUUUUAAAGGUUUGAAUGGUAUUUUUUCGCUAAUGGGUAAUGUCAUUAUAUAAUAAUAAAAGCAUGUAAUUGUGAUUGAUGUUUUAAAUUAAUACCAUAAGUGACAAUUCUGAUUUAAACAAUGUAUUCACUAUGAGAAUAAUGACUUUGCUUUGGAUUCAUUUCUGAAUUUAUUGAUAGAAAUAUCGAAGCUCUGAAAAAAGUUUUAACAUAGAAUUAUAUAAUAGGUCUUGUUAACCAAAUUCACUUUAAAGGUAUCACAAAGAGCAACUAAAUCUUCUUCUUCUCUAUGAAAGUCACAAAUUCCUUCAUGAAUAAAAGCAUGAAAUUUUAUUAUAAAGUGAUAUUUGAUCCUAAACCUCAUCC